GUUGCCUGUUUGUAUGGAUUGAUUAUUUAAAAAACAUAUUGAGAAAUUUAAUUCAAAUGAUCAAGGUACAGUCAAAAAGCCAAAACGAAAUUAUUUGAGUUCACGGCUGAAGAUGUUACUUCAAUUUUCUUGCAUGUAAAUAUCUACAGCCGUAUCUUUCUUAUUUUCUUUUCAUUACAGUAUAGGAGUAAAUGGCUCAUUGUGUGUAUGUUGUGA
rnacentral:lncRNA from 1 species